AUUGAACGCUGGCGGCAUGCCUUACACAUGCAAGUCGAACGGUAGCGGGCCUUCGGGUGCCGACGAGUGGCGAACGGGUGAGUAAUGUAUCGGAACGUACCUUUCAGUGGGGGAUAACGUAGCGAAAGUUACGCUAAUACCGCAUAUUCUGUGAGCAGGAAAGCAGGGGAUCGCAAGACCUUGGGCUGAUUGAGCGGCUGAUGUCAGAUUAGCUAGUUGGUGAGGUAAAGGCACACCAAGGCGACGAUCUGUAGCGGGUCUGAGAGGAUGAUCCGCCACACUGGAACUGAGACACGGUCCAGACUCCUACGGGAGGCAGCAGUGGGGAAUUUUGGACAAUGGGGGCAACCCUGAUCCAGCCAUGCCGCGUGAGUGAAGAAGGCCUUCGGGUUGUAAAGCUCUUUCGGCCGGGAAGAAAUCGCACGGGCUAAUACCCUGUGUGGAUGACGGUACCGGAAUAAGAAGCACCGGCUAACUACGUGCCAGCAGCCGCUGUAACAC
rnacentral:rRNA from 1 species